UACGUAGGGUGCAAGCGUUGUCCGGAAUUAUUGGGCGUAAAGAGCUCGUAGGCGGUCUGUUGCGUCGGCUGUGAAAACCCGGGGCUCAACCCCGGGCCUGCAGCCGAUACGGGCAGACUAGAGUUCGGCAGGGGAGACUGGAAUUCCUGGUGUAGCGGUGAAAUGCGCAGAUAUCAGGAGGAACACCAGUGGCGAAGGCGGCUUCCUGGCCCGAAUCUGACGCUGAGGUGCGAAAGCGUGGGGAGCGAUCCGG
rnacentral:rRNA from 1 species